rnacentral:rRNA from 1 species
ACGGAAGGCAGCAGUGGGGGAUAUUGCACAAUGGGCGAAAGCCUGAUGCAGCGACGCCGCGUGAGGGAAGACGGUUUUCGGAUUGUAAACCUCUGUCUUCGGGGACGAAAAAGGACGGUACCCGUGGAGGAAGCCACGGCUACUACGUGCCAGCAGCCGCGGUAAUACGUAGGUGGCAAGCGUUGUCCGGAAUUACUGGGUGUAAAGGGAGAGUAGGCGGGAUUGCAAGUCCGUUGUUAAAUCUAUCGGCUCAACCGGUAGCUGCGGCGGAAACUGUAGUUCUUGAGUGAAGUAGAGGCAGGCGGAAUUCCUAGUGUAGCGGUGAAAUGCGUAGAUAUUAGGAGGAACACCAGUGGCGAAGGCGGCCUGCUGGGCUUUAACUGACGCUGAGGCUCGAAAGUGUGGGGAGCAAACAGGAUUAGAUACCCUGGUA